ACGAACGCUGGCGGCGUGCUUAACACAUGCAAGUCGCACGGAAAGGCCCUGCUUUUGUGGGGUGCUCGCGUGGCGAACGGGUGAGUAACACGUGAGUAACCUGCCCUUGACUUUGGGAUAACUUCAGGAAACUGGGGCUAAUACCGGAUAGGAGCUCCUGCUGCAUGGUGGGGGUUGGAAAGUUUCGGCGGUUGGGGAUGGACUCGCGGCUUAUCAGCUUGUUGGUGGGGUAGUGGCUUACCAAGGCUUUGACGGGUAGCCGGCCUGAGAGGGUGACCGGCCACAUUGGGACUGAGAUACGGCCCAGACUCCUACGGGAGGCAGCAGUGGGGAAUAUUGCACAAUGGGCGGAAGCCUGACGCAGCAACGCCGCGUGCGGGAUGACGGCCUUCGGGUUGUAAACCGCUUUCGCCUGUGACGAAGCGUGAGUGACGGUAAUGGGUAAAGAAGCACCGGCUAACUACGUG
rnacentral:rRNA from 1 species